rnacentral:rRNA from 1 species
AUGAACGCUAGCUAUAGGCUUAACACAUGCAAGUCGCGGGGCAGCAUGAAUUUAGCUUGCUAAAUUUGAUGGCGACCGGCGCACGGGUGAGUAACGCGUAUCCAACCUUCCCCUGUCCACGGGAUAGCCCGUCGAAAGGCGGAUUAAUACCGUAUGAGGUCACACGAUGGCAUCAGACUGUGACGAAAGAUUCAUCGGUGACGGAUAGGCUCGCGGGGCAUUAGCUAGACGGCGGGGCAACGGCCCACCGUGGCGACGAUGCCUAGGGGUUCUGAGAGGAAGACCCCCCACACUGGGACUGAGACACGGCCCAGACUCCUACGGGAGGCAGCAGUGAGGAAUAUUGGUCAAUGGGCGGAAGCCUGAACCAGCCAUGCCGCGUGAAGGACUAAGGCCCUAUGGGUCGUAAACUUCUUUAGACGCAGAGCAAUAAGGGUCUCGUGAGAUCCGAUGAGAGUAUGCGUAGAAUAAGCAUCGGCUAACUCCGUG